GUGGUUGGUAAUUUCUGCUUCCUCUAAUUUCAAGCGUUUGCUCAAAUCUUGUACUAGCCGAAACAAUCUAGAUAGGGAAUCCAAGGUAAAGUCAGUCAACAAUGGAAAGAGCGCAGAAAGAAGAGGCAGAUGUUAACAAUAUGUAAGAUAGAAUGUCAUCAGGAUAAUAUGCCAAUAUGGUUGUCUUCAUCUAUCGCUGAGGAUAAUACAACUUUGGAGUUUGGAGUUCUCUUAUUCAUUUCCUUUCUUAUUAAAACGAAAAUAUUUCUCACAGAAAUCGAGAAAUGGAACUACCAAACUGGUAGCUGUGUCAUAAAGAAUGAAUGGUCCACCAUUCUGGACCUCGCGGAGGACAGCUGGGCCUGGUUAGUAAUUAUGGGAAUCAUUCCUGAAUGAUUUGCGAACGUAUCCGAACUAACCGAAUCCGAAUGAUACUUCCAAAUUAUUUGAGCUCCGAACCUAGUUCCCGGAUUAUAUGGACCUCACGAAUGAUCGGCGAACGUAUCCGAACUGACUGAAUC